rnacentral:rRNA from 1 species
CCUACGGGCGGCUGCAGUAGGGAAUCUUGCGCAAUGCGCGAAAGCGUGACGCAGCAACGCCGCGUGGAGGAAGACGGUCUUCGGAUUGUAAACUCCUUUCAGUUGGGACGAAGCUUCGGUGGUGAAUAGCCAUUCGGAGUGACGGUACCUUCAGAAGAAGCCCCGGCUAACUACGUGCCAGCAGCCGCGGUAAUACGUAGGGGGCGAGCGUUGUCCGGAAUCAUUGGGCGUAAAGCGCGUGUAGGCGGCUCGGUAAGUCUGCUGUGAAAGUCCAGGGCUCAACCCUGGAAUGCCGGUGGAUACUGUCGAGCUUGAGUCCGGAAGAGGCGAGUGGAAUUCCUGGUGUAGCGGUGAAAUGCGCAGAGAUCAGGAGGAAAACCAAUGGCGAAGGCAGCUCGCUGGGACGUGACUGACGCUGAGGUGCGAAAGCGUGGGGAGCAAACAGGAUUAGAUACCCGAGUAGUC